GGCGGCAGGCCUAACACAUGCAAGUCGAGCGAGGUAGCAAUACCUAGCGGCGGACGGGUGAGUAACGCGUGGGAACAUACCCUUUGGUACGGAAUAGCCUCGGGAAACUGGGAGUAAUACCGUAUGUGCCCUUCGGGGGAAAGAUUUAUCGCCAAAGGAUUGGCCCGCGUUGGAUUAGGUAGUUGGUGGGGUAAUGGCCUACCAAGCCGACGAUCCAUAGCUGGUUUGAGAGGAUGAUCAGCCACACUGGGACUGAGACACGGCCCAGACUCCUACGGGAGGCAGCAGUGGGGAAUCUUAGACAAUGGGGGAAACCCUGAUCUAGCCAUGCCGCGUGAUCGAUGAAGGCCUUAGGGUUGUAAAGAUCUUUCAGAUGGGAAGAUAAUGACGGUACCAUCAGAAGAAGCCCCGGCUAACUCCGUGCCAGCAGCCGCGGUAAUACGGAGGGGGCUAGCGUUAUUCGGAAUUACUGGGCGUAAAGCGCACGUAGGCGGAUUAGAAAGUCAGAGGUGAAAUCCCAGGGCUCAACCUUGGAACUGCCUUUGAAACUCCUAGUCUUGAGGUCGAGAGAGGUGAGUGGAAUUCCGAGUGUAGAGGUGAAAUUCGUAGAUAUUCGGAGGAACACCAGUGGCGAAGGCGG
rnacentral:rRNA from 1 species